GAUGAACGCUGGCGGCGUGCCUAAUACAUGCAAGUCGAGCGAAGCAGGGACGGGUAAGUACCACUUGGAUAACCUCCUAUAAGACUGGGAUCACUUCGGGAAACCGGCGCUAAACCUGAUACUUAUCGAUGGAUCCGGGCUGCAGUAGCUAGUUGGUAAGGUAACGGCUUAACAAGGCAACGAUGCCUACCCGACCUGAGAGGGGUAUCGGCCACACGGUAACUGAGACACGGUCCAGACUACUACGGUAGGCAGCAGUAGGGAAUCUUCCGCAAUGGGCGAAAGCCUGACGGAGAAACGCCGAGUGAGUGAUGAAGGUUUUCGGAUCGUAAAACUCUGUUAUGAGGGAAGCGGUACCUAAUCAGAAAGCCACGGCUAACUACGUGCCAGCAGCCGCGGUAAUUG
rnacentral:rRNA from 1 species